AUCUAGCCCUGAAAAUGAAUGGCGCUUGAGCGAAAGACCUAUACCUAACCAUUUUUGGCAUGUGAGAUGAUUAUUCGAUACGUUUUUAUUUUCGAAUUUUUUUUUCUUGAUGAAAAUCGUAAAUCGAAUCCGACGCCUGGCCACAAUGAGUAGGAGGGUCGUAGCGGUUGCGUUGAAGGCGUUAGGUGUAGACCUAGCUGGAGCUUCCGUUCUUCA
rnacentral:ncRNA from 1 species